GAUGAACGCUGGCGGCGUGCCUAAUACAUGCAAGUCGAGCGAACGGACGAGAAGCUUGCUUCUCUGAUGUUAGCGGCGGACGGGUGAGUAACACGUGGAUAACCUACCUAUAAGACUGGGAUAACUUCGGAAACCGGAGCUAAUACCGGAUAAUAUUUUGAACCGCAUGGUUCAAAAGUGAAAGACGGUCUUGCUGUCACUUAUAGAUGGAUCCGCGCUGCAUUAGCUAGUUGGUAAGGUAACGGCUUACCAAGGCAACGAUGCAUAGCCGACCUGAGAGGGUGAUCGGCCACACUGGAACUGAGACACGGUCCAGACUCCUACGGGAGGCAGCAGUAGGGAAUCUUCCGCAAUGGGCGAAAGCCUGACGGAGCAACGCCGCGUGAGUGAUGAAGGUCUUCGGAUCGUAAAACUCUGUUAUUAGGGAAGAACAUAUGUGUAAGUAACUGUGCACAUCUUGACGGUACCUAAUCAGAAGGCCACGGCUAACUACGUG
rnacentral:rRNA from 1 species